rnacentral:rRNA from 1 species
GACGACGCUGGCGGCGUGGAUUAGGCAUGCAAGUCGAACGGUAUCAUCCGUUUCGGGGGUGAGAGAGUGGCGAACUGGUGAGUAACACGUAGGUUAUCUACCCUCAAGACGGGGACAACCCAGGGAAACUUGGGCUAAUACCGGAUGUGAGCAACUUUAGUUGUUUGAAAGGUGGCGUAAGCUGUCGCUUGGGGAUGAGCCUGCGUCCUAUUAGUUAGUUGGUGAGGUAACGGCUCACCUAGGCAAUGAUAGGUAGGCGGCCUUAACGGGUGGUCGCCCACACUGGGAUUGAGAUACGGCCCAGACUCCUACGGGAGGCAGCAGCUAAGAAUAUUCCGCAAUGGACGGAAGUCUGACGGAGCGACGCCGCGUGGAUGAAGAAGGCCGAAAGGUUGUAAAGUUCUUUUGCUAGGGGAGAAUAAGUGUGGGAGGGAAUGCCUGCACGAUGACAAGGACUAGCGAAUAAGUCCCGGCCAACUACGUG